GUUAUAUGGUCAAGUGAAGAAGCGCAUACGGUGGAUGCCUUGGCAGUCAGAGGCGAUGAAAGACGUGGUAGCCUGCGAUAAGCUUCGGGGAGUCGGCAAACAGACUUUGAUCCGGAGAUCUCUGAAUGGGGGAACCCACCUAGGAUAACCUAGGUAUCUUGUACUGAAUACAUAGGUGCAAGAGGCGAACCAGGGGAACUGAAACAUCUAAGUACCCUGAGGAAAAGAAAUCAACCGAGAUUCCCUUAGUAGUGGCGAGCGAACGGGGACUAGCCCUUAAGUUGAUUUGAGAUUAGCGGAACGCUCUGGAAAGUGCGGCCAUAGUGGGUGAUAGCCCUGUACGCGAAAAUCUCUUAUCAAUGAAAUCGAGUAGGACGGAGCACGAGAAACUUUGUCUGAAUAUGGGGGGACCAUCCUCCAAGGCUAAAUACUACUGACUGACCGAUAGUGAACUAGUACCGUGAGGGAAAGGCGAAAAGAACCCCGGAGAGGGGAGUGAAAUAGAUCCUGAAACCGUAUGCGUACAAGCAGUGGGAGCCUACUU
rnacentral:rRNA from 1 species